CGCGGCCUAUCAGCUUGUUGGUGGGGUAACGGCCCACCAAGGCGACGACGGGUAGCUGGCGUGAGAGCGUGACCAGCCACACUGGGACUGAGACACGGCCCAGACUCCUACGGGAGGCAGCAGUGGGGAAUAUUGCGCAAUGGGGGAAACCCUGACGCAGCGACGCCGCGUGCGGGAUGAAGGCCUUCGGGUUGUAAACCGCUUUCAGCAGGGACGAAGCGAAAGUGACGGUACCUGCAGAAGAAGCCCCGGCCAACUACGUGCCAGCAGCCGCGGUAAGACGUAGGGGGCGAGCGUUGUCCGGUAUCACUGGGCGUAAAGCGCGCGCAGGCGGCCCGGUAAGUCGGUAGUGAAAACCCGGGGCUCAACCCCGGGCCUGCUGCCGAUACUGUCGGGCUCGAGGCAGGUAGGGGAGAGUGGAAUUCCCGGUGUAGCGGUGAAAUGCGCAGAUAUCGGGAGGAACACCGGUGGCGAAGGCGGCUCACUGGGCCUGUCCUGACGCUCAGGCGCGAAAGCUGGGGGAGCAAACAGGAUUAGAUACCCUGGUAGUCCCAGCCGUAAACGAUGGGUGCUAGGUGUGGGAGGCAUCAACCCCUUCCGUGCCGAAGCUAACGCAUUAAGCACCCCGCCUGGGGAGUACGG
rnacentral:rRNA from 1 species